rnacentral:rRNA from 1 species
UCGAGCGAACAGACGAGGAGCUUGCUCCUCUGACGUUAGCGGCGGACGGGUGAGUAGCACGUGGAUAACCUACCUAUAAGACUGGGAUAGCUUCGGGAAACCGGAGCUAAUACCGGAUAAUAUAUUGAACCGCAUGGUCCAAUAGUGAAAGACGGUUUUGCUGUCACUUAUAGAUGGAUCCGCGCCGCAUUAGCUAGUUGGUAAGGUAACGGCUUACCAAGACAACGAUGCGUAGCCGACCUGAGAGGGUGAUCGGCCACACUGGAACUGAGACACGGUCCAGACUCCUACGGGAGGCAGCAGUAGGGAAUCUUCCGCAAUGGGCGAAAGCCUGACGGAGCAACGCCGCGUGAGUGAUGAAGGUCUUCGGAUCGUAAAGCUCUGCUACUAGGGAAGAACAAAUGUGUAAGUAACUAUGCACGUCUUGACGGUACCUAAUCAGAAAGCCACGGCUAACUACGUGCCAGCAGCCGCGGUAAUACGUAGGUGGCAAGCGUUAUCCGGAAUUAUUGGGCGUAAAGCGCGCGUAGGUGGUUUUUUAAGUCUGAUAUGAAAGCCCACGGCUCAACCGUGGAGGGUCAUUGGAAACUGGAAAACUUGAGUGCAGAAGAGGAAAGUGGAAUUCCAUGUGUAGCGGUGAAAUGCGCAGAGAUAUGGAGGAACACCAGUGGCGAAGGCGACUUUCUGGUCUGUAACUGACGCUGAUGUGCGAAAGCGUGGAGAUCAAACAGGAUUAGAUACCCUGGUAGUCCACGCCGUAAACGAUGAGUGCUAAGUGUUAAGGGGUUUCCGCCCUUAGUGCUGCAGCUAACGCAUUAAGCACUCCGCCUGGGGAGUACGACCGCAAGGCUGAAACUCAAUGGAAUUGACGGGG